UACCAGCACCCCGAGUGGUCGGGACGAUUAUUGGGCCUAAAGCAUCCGUAGCCGGUACUGCAAGUCUUCCGUUAAAUCCACCUGCUCAACAGUUGGGCUGCGGAGGAUACUACAGCGCUAGGAGGCGGGAGAGGCAAGCGGUACUCAGUGGGUAGGGGUAAAAUCCAUUGAUCCAUUGAAGACCACCAGUGGCGAAGGCGGCUUGCCAGAACGCGCUCGACGGUGAGGGAUGAAAGCUGGGGGAGCAAACCGGG
rnacentral:rRNA from 1 species